CUACGUGCCAGCAGCCGCGGUAAUACGUAGGUCCCGAGCGUUGUCCGGAUUUAUUGGGCGUAAAGCGAGCGCAGGCGGUUAGAUAAGUCUGAAGUUAAAGGCUGUGGCUUAACCAUAGUACGCUUUGGAAACUGUUUAACUUGAGUGCAAGAGGGGAGAGUGGAAUUCCAUGUGUAGCGGUGAAAUGCGUAGAUAUAUGGAGGAACACCGGUGGCGAAAGCGGCUCUCUGGCUUGUAACUGACGCUGAGGCUCGAAAGCGUGGGGAGCAAGCAGGAUUAGAUACCCUGGUAGUCCACGCCGUAAACGAUGAGUGCUAGGUGUUAGACCCUUUCCGGGGUUUAGUGCCGUAGCUAACGCAUUAAGCACUCCGCCUGGGGAGUACGACCGCAAGGUUGAAACUCAAAGGAAUUGACGGGGGCCCGCACAAGCGGUGGAGCAUGUGGUUUAAUUCGAAGCAACGCGAAGAACCUUACCAGGUCUUGACAUCCCUCUGACCGCUCUAGAGAUAGAGUUUUC
rnacentral:rRNA from 1 species